AAGGGUGGAGCUCAGUGGUAGAGUGUGUGCUUAGCAUGCUUGAGGUCCUGGGUUCAAUCCCCAGUACCUCCA
rnacentral:tRNA from 1 species